GAUGAACGCUGGCGGCGUGCCUAAUACAUGCAAGUCGAGCGAACAGACGAGGAGCUUGCUCCUCUGACGUUAGCGGCGGACGGGUGAGUAACACGUGGAUAACCUACCUAUAAGACUGGGAUAACUUCGGGAAACCGGAGCUAAUACCGGAUAACAUGUUGAACCGCAUGGUUCAACAGUGAAAGACGGUCUUGCUGUCACUUAUAGAUGGAUCCGCGCCGCAUUAGCUAGUUGGUAAGGUAACGGCUUACCAAGGCAACGAUGCGUAGCCGACGUGAGAGGGUGAUCGGCCACACUGGAACUGAGACACGGUCCAGACUCCUACGGGAGGCAGCAGUAGGGAAUCUUCCGCAAUGGGCGAAAUCCUGACGGAGCAACGCCGCGUGAGUGAAGAAGGUCUUCGGAUCGUAAAACUCUGUUAUUAGGGAAGAACAAAUGUGUAAGUAACUAUGCACGUCUUGACGGUACCUAAUCAGAAAGCCACGGCUAACUACGUG
rnacentral:rRNA from 1 species